ACACGGACAGGAUUGACAGAUUGAGAGCUCUUUCUCGAUUCCGUGGGUGGUGGUGCAUGGCCGUUCUUAGUUGGUGGAGCGAUUUGUCUGUACUUGCAGUUCUGCUGAGUGCAAAUGCCUAAAUCUCUGUCUGUUAAUAUGGGACUAAUUUGCUAAAUGAUGCAACAGUUUAAGGAUCAUGCUAAUGGGAAUAAAUAUAAUUCCUUUGGUGUUUCAAUGGGUAAUUAAUGAAGUGAUGUUAGCUUACAGGUGUCUACCUGCAAGUGAAAGGUAUAUGGCUUUUGAU
rnacentral:ncRNA from 1 species